UAAUUAAGAAGUUUUUGUCUCCGUCCUUAAUGGCACGUGUCAUCGCGCGAGGGAGUGUGCGGAUUAGGGUUGGGAAAGCGGAGUCGAGUCAUUCUCAUCCUCUCCCUUCUCUCUCUCGACGGCGAUCUCGGUCUCACCCCGUUCCCUCUCCCGAUCUCUGUCUGACACGAACCGUUAUCUCCCCCGAUCUUUGUCUCAGCCGUUCCCUCUCUCGAGCUCUAUCUCCGCCGUUCCCUCUCUCGGCCGAUCUAUCUCUCCG
rnacentral:lncRNA from 1 species